GGAAUUGUUCGCAAUGGGCGCAAGCCUGACGACGCAACGCCGCGUGGAGGAUGAGGAUCUUCGGGUCGUAAACUCCUGUCGAAUGGGACGAAUGGGUGGUGGGUGAACAGCCUGCCGCCGUGACGGUACCGGUAAAGGACACCCCGGCUCACUCCGUGCCCGCAGCCGCGGUAAUACGGGGGGGGUAAGCGUUGUUCGGAAUUACUGGGCGUAAAGGGCUCGUAGGCGGCCAACUAAGUCAGACGUGAAAUCCCUCAGCUUAACUGGGGAACUGCGUCUGACACUGGAUGGCUUGGAUCCGGGAGAGGGAUGCGGAAUUCCAGGUGUAGCGGUGAAAUGCGUAGAUAUCUGGAGGAACACCGGUGGCGAAGGCGGCAUCCUGGACCGGUAUUGACGCUGAGGAGCGAAAGCCAGGGGAGCAAA
rnacentral:rRNA from 1 species